GCAAACUUGGUCAUUUAGAGGAAGUACAAGUCGUAACAAGGUUUCCGUAGGUGAACCUGCGGAAGGAUCAUUAACGAAUCGUGUUCCGUGUAGUAGAUACCGGAUACAUAUGUGCUCUCCAGGCAACUGGGGGUGCAAAAUAUAUGAUGUAGUGUUUUUGUGUAGUGAGAAUGUGUUGGUGGUGUGUAGUUAUGCAUCAUCAUGAAAUAUAUGACACUUUUAACAAUGGAUCUCUUGGCUCUUGCAUCGAUGAAGAACGCAGC
rnacentral:misc_RNA from 1 species